GCAUAAGUUCCAGGGAGGGGCCGAACUCACUUUGUGGAUCUAAUGUAG
rnacentral:pre_miRNA from 1 species